CAUAGAAUCUACCCCCAAAACCAAGAGCACACUGUAUACACUGUCUGUUAGCUGACUUGACAAUAAAUUUUAAAAAAAGGAGUCAAUUACUAAUAUUAACAGCUAGACAGCUGCCAGAUGUUUCAAGGGUACCCAAGACUGAGGAUGGUUUACAUUCAUAUCAAUAUGGCCUGCCUUUGGUGCAUUUGAUCCCCAUGAUCAUUGUGCUGACAGCGCCUGCUCUCUUUCAGACAGUGGCCACUCAAAGACGGUGUGCAUUUCCCACCAGCAUGCAUUUUAGUGACCUCAGUUUUGAGAGCUGAAGAAACAAAUGGUAUACGUUGUGGAGGCUACUUUCUAGAAAGGUUCAUUUGUACAAAAUUAAAGCUUCAUAUAUGAAUUCGUGUGAAUUGCAUUGUGUGUGUGUUUGCUCCUAAAAUACAGGUAAGUCUAGUUUUUGUAAAAUGAUAUGUGUUCUUUUGUUUUGAUGACCAUAUCCAGGACUUUUGUAUUCUUUUAGAAGUUAAUUUUAAUAGUUGUUAUUGAUUGAUUUAGGUGCAAUACUCUGAAAUACUCUGAAUACGUGAAUUCCUUUCAUUGGCUAUUUGACGGGUGUAAUCAAGGAACUUAAAAUCUCAUAGAUAUCAUCAGAAUAUAUAAGACCAUCUGAUUAUGCAAGUCUUUAUUUACUUCAGAAAUUUGACAUUUUGGGCUGCGAUUCGGUAUCAAAGUAAACAUUGAAAGAAAAUGUCAAUGUGUUUAGGAAGCGAAAAAGAAGUAUAAUUUGUUUGGAAUAAUAAUCCCGUAUUUAUAAGAGCAACUACCCAUCACUCACAGUUAUGUCCCUAUCUGUAAACAUCUAUCUAUAUAACAUUCUCAUUUGUAUCUCUAGUACAUUUUUUAUUGUUACUUUCUCCCAUUCUUUCAUAAAUUUUGGGCAUAUUUUUGGAGAUCUUCAAAAGGAGUUUAGGUACUUUAUGAAUGUACAUUAGAAGUCAUUGACUUCUUAUCGAUCAUAUGUUUAAUAUUAUGUAUUUUUCUAUUUUAAGUUGGUUUAUAAAUUCUUAGGUUAACUAUUUAGAAAGUACUUGGAAUGUGUUUGUCAGCAAAAUAAAAUCCCUAAGUGUUGUCCAUUCUAGUUUUGCUAUAGCUUCAGUGUGGUAUAAUUUAUGUAUAAUAACACCUUUUCAAAGGAAACGAUUUGUUGAUAUUUGACAUAUAAGGAGUAAUGAAGCUAUCAACACAGUAAGAGAAUAAACACACUCCAUCACUCCCAAAGUUUGCUCCUGCUCCUUUCUAAGCCAUCUGUCCUCCUCCUUUGAGGAGGCAUUUGAAAGUCUCCUGGAGAUUGCUUGAGGGUUUGUAAAGAUGAUUCUUUGUGACAGAUAUAUUGUAAAUGUCUUUGAUGGAUUCCUCGUUGUCUCCAAUAUUAUUUCAGCUUCUCCAUAUUUUAUCCUACCAUUUCUCUCUUGGCUCUGAUGUGUUUGGAAUUCUGUGGAAACAUAACAUUAUUACUGCCUCCCUGGGAAUUUGUGCAUUUCUAAUUUACCUCUGGAGAACUGUAUUUGCUGUUAGUAUACUAAAGUACCUUAUAUUUUUUAAAUCAUAAAUAAGCAGAAAAUUUUAUACUCACUGUGCCUUUAUAUGCACUCAGUAUUACAAAUUUCCUUCUAAUCUGUUCAAUUUUCACUGUCAUUUAGAUUGAACUAUUUAAAAAUUUCUGUAGAAAUGUCUUCUUUGACCCAUAUAUUUUUUAAGUUCAAGUGUAAUGUACAUACAAUGUAAUAUUAGAUUCAGGUGUGCAUUACAAUUCUACAGUUCUUUACAUUUCUCAGUGCUCAUCACCUUAAGUGUACUCUUGAUCCCCUCUUUUGCCCAUUCUCCCACCAACCUCCCCUCUAACCCAUGUGUUCUUUAGAAGCUUAUUUAAUCUACAGUGUUUUUGUCAUUUUCCAGCUAUCUUUCUGUUUGUGAGGUCUAAUUUGACUCAUUUGUGGUCUGAGGACAUACUUCCUAUGAUUUCUGUUAUUGUGGCUGACCAGAUGUAUCUUAUGGCCGCAAAUAUGGCCUGUCUCAGUGAAUGUUCUAUGUGAGCUUGACAGGAAUGUAUAAUCUUCUGUUGGAUGAGGUAUUCUACAGAUGGUAAUGGAUCCAGUUGAUUGGUGGUGCUGUUCAGGUCAUAUGUGAUCUUACUGAAUGUCUGUAUGCUGGAUCUGUUGGUGCCUGAUAGAGGGUAUUGAAUUCUCCAGCUGUAGUAACAGAUUCAGCUCUUUUCUACCAGCAGUUCUGUCAGUGUUGGCCUUGUGUAUCUUGACACAUCGGCAUGCACAUUAGAAAUUGUUGCGUCUUUUUGGAGAACUGACUUCUUUAGCAUUGAAGUAACGCCAGUCAUUAUCCCUGACAAUUUUCCUUACUCUGUAGUGUGUCUGAAGGAUAAUUUCACUGGAUACAGACAGUUUGAUGUUUAACACUUGAAAUAUUCUCUUCUUCUUGAUUGUGUGGUUUAUGAAAAGAAGUCUCAGAUAUUUCUUAUCCUUGUUCCUCUUGGGUAAGGUGUUCUUGCUUCCUUCUCUCCUUACACCCCCAUCCCCUGCUCCAGAUUUCCAAAGCUGUUUUAAUUAUCUGUAGUUGAAUAUUAUACAUUAAGUGUAGUUGGUGGGUUUUUUGUUGUUGUUGUUAGUUGUUUGUAUGUUUGUCUUGGGUAUUUGUCCUGCUUUUGAUUUUUUGAGAAUCCUGGAUCUGUGAUUUGGUGACUACUAUUUACUUCGGAAAAUCUCAGUCAUUAUUGCUUCAAAUAUCUCUCUUUUCCAUUGUCAUGGUAUUCCUAACGUGUGUGCUACACAUUUUGCAAUUGUCCCACUGGUCUUGGGUUUUCUGUGCCAUAUUUUUAACUUUUUUCUUUGUGUUUCCUUUUUGGAAGGUGCUCCUGGAAUUUCUUUAGGCUCAGUGAUUAUUUCCGUAGCUAUGUUGAGUCUGCUAAUCCAUCAAAGGCAUUUUUUAUUUCUGUUAUGGUGCUCUUGAUAUCUCGAAUCACUUUAAAGUCUUAGAGGUUCAUCUCUCUGCUUACAUUCACCAUCUCUUUUUGCAUGUUGUCCACUUUUUUUCAUUAUCUGCAUUAUCAUAGGAAUGGAAGUGGUUUUAAGUUCCCAGACUGAUAAUUCCUACAUCUCUGCCAUAGGAAGUGUGAUUCUAGCGUGUUUUCUGUCUGUGUUCAAACUGUGUGGUUUUUACUUUACUAUGCCUUGUAAGUUGUGUUGAAAUGUAAAUGUUACGUGCUGGUAAAGAAACUGAGGUAAAUAGGACAUGAGUGUGAGGUUUUUAUAUUUAUCUGGCUAGGGGUUAGGUUGAAUUUACUUCCAGGUGAGACAGGAAGGAGAGAGCCCUGGCGUUGAGUAUUUUCCCUCACCUAUAUUGCUUACUCUUUGGGAAAUCCCCAGUUAGUCUCUUAGUUCCUCUCGAGGGCAGAUCUUUUCUGGAAGAACAGAAUACUUUGGAAUUUAUUUCUAAAUGAGUAUCUCCCCCUCCCCCUGCCACUGUAGGACACUUGCCUUCACAAAGAAACACAACUAUUAAGUAUUUUGUGUGUUCAUAUUCCUUUUCACUUCCCCAGCCCGUGGGGAUGGGUGACAAGGGACAGGGAAGCUCAGAGGUUCCUAAGUGGCUUUUUGAUAGCAUGAUGAUAUUCCAAUAUCCUGGCAAGAGUGUAGGGCUGGCCUCAGCCUCUCAUCAUCCUUUAAAACUUUAGAAUGGGGAACUAUGUUGAUGGUGUCAAAACAGGAUCAUGCCUAGAUUUGAUUGGGCUAGAAUUUAUCAAGGGUGACUGAGGUCUGCAGAGCACUUUUUGUUCUUUUGUUUGAAACACUAGCUGUCAUUUCUGUUGUUGCUUGUGCUUUAGCUGUAGCCGUGUUUUAUUCUUUUUCUCAUUUGGUGGCUUCUAUUUCGUUUGUAGCAGUCUGGAAAAAAUCAUGGCACCUGAUGUGCUAUAACUCUGUAUGAAUUAAGUAAACAGCCAACUCCAUGUAAGAUUUCAGAAGAGCUUUCUAGAGAAUGAAAGAAGUAUAUCUUAGCACAAAGGUUUUGCUCUUCCUUCCUUCUCUCCCUCCCUCCCUCCCUCCCUCCCCUCCCUCCCGUCCGUCCUUCCUUCCUUCCUUCCUUCCUUCCUUCCUUCCUUCCUUCCUUCCUUCCUAUUUCUUUAUUUCAGUAUUUAAAAAUAAUCCUAGUUCUAAACUUCAGUGUGGAUACUGGGUUUAAAAAAAAUAAGUGAGGGAAAUGAUGAUUUAGUGCAUUUUUUAAAUGUCUGUAUUAUCAAUGGUCAAAAUUGAAUAGGCUGAAUGUUCACUUAAUAUAAACAGAUUUUUGGUUCAAAAAAAAAGCUAUUUACGUUGUGCUCUUUAACAGAAAUUGUGAAGUACCAUGACUUAAAUAGGAAGUUCUAACUUUUUCUUAUUUUUUAAUCCUGUGAAUUAAUUAUGCAAAAUAAAAUUAUUGUAAUUUAAUUGGAUUACUAUUUUGCUGUUUAUCAGGAACUAUAGGUUUUUACUAAUAAUAUGUUUUGACAACAAAUUUAAUUUUGUUUUUUCCCCUCUUAGAGCCUCGAGGAUAUCAUGAAAAUAAAAAGGCCCUGGAAGACAAGUGUAAUGCAUUGAGGUCUGUGAAAGCAACAAAGGAAGCAAAAGUCAAACAGCUGAAGGAGAAAGCACAUAACCUGGAAGAAUUCUAUGAACAAAGAAAAGUGCCUACAGAAAAGAAGCUGAAAAUGACACUGUGAACUGGCGGCAAAGAAGAAUCAGCUGGCCGCUGCAGGCAACAAAUUGAACAAACACGGGAACAGCUGCAGCAGGCAGAGCUCACCUUUAGACACUAGGUAACCUGAGUUCUGCCUGACAUACUGAACCCUUAGCAUCUCACGCGGGUGAGUGUAGUGGCUCGUGGGAUCCCUAAACAUGGGCUUUUCGUUGUUGGCUUUUUCAGCUCGCAGUUCAUGAGAAGAAUGCUUAGGACAACUAGAUCAAGACUCAGAUCUGGGACAGGGAGAUGGUGGAGCAGGGCAGGGAGGUCGCUUACUUGAAAUACAGACUGGACGGGAUGGAAGCAAAGAGGCUGCCUGAGGGAUACACAAGGCAGAAACCAAUGGCUGCAGGACCAGAGAUUCAGAACCCUCCAAAGAGAGGGUCUUUGGUAGAUCCAGAAACUGCUGAAACCUCUGUGAGUUAGAGCAGCUCUGACUGCACCAAGAAUGCAGACAAGGACAAGGACAGGACCCUUGCCAGUUUACUUCUGCAGACAUGGGCAGUGAUGUGUGGUGGCAUCCAGUGGCAGGGACAGAGUUUUCAGGGCAGUCUGGAUCCUGGGGACCUGCUCCGUUAACUGGACGAUUCUGCAUGCCCUACCCUGGAGACGCCCCGCCCCCAUGGACUAUUAGGCACGUCCACCUCCUGAACCUUAGUGGCCCUGAAGCCACCCAGAACCCCUCCACCUGCAACACCUGGUCUUGGGCCAAGGUGCAGAGAAGGUACCACAGACCACUGUGAUGCAAGGGGAAUGUCUGCUGCCAUUACCACAUUCCUCAAGUUUCUCAGGAUCUCAUCUUUGUCAUUUCCCCCAUCAUGGGUCCAGGAGCAGGUGUCACACCCAAGAGUGACAUCGACACUGGCUCUGCCAAAACUGCCGAGAAACACAAGGCUAUUAUGUAUUCAAGAGGGCCUGGUCCUUUCCCAGGAUCGCCUUGCAGGCUGUUCCCCAUGGACCACCCUUCACCACCAGUCAUGGGCUAUAGGCCACGUCCCCCUCCACCACCAGCUCCUCCACCUCCUCUAUUUGUUAAGAUGACCUGAACUGGAUGAGAGGCUGGUAAAGUAUAUUCACCUUCUUCACGAUUGACUUUGUGGGAAUGAUGUAGAGAUGGCUGUGAGUCUUGGCAAUGCAACUACCAACUGCCUGAGGACACUGUAGCAUAUCUCAAGUUUCUCAGGACAUACAUACAAUGGGCAGUGUCAUUUCCCUGUAAUAUGGUGAGCUAUACAUUUCUCUUGUCAAAUGAGAGGAUUUUUUACACAAAAGCAGACGUAUCAGCA